rnacentral:rRNA from 1 species
AAAUUGAAGAGUUUGAUCAUGGCUCAGAUUGAACGCUGGCGGCAGGCCUAACACAUGCAAGUCGAACGGUAACGGGAAGCAGCUUGCUGCUUUGCUGACGAGUGGCGGACGGGUGAGUAAUGUCUGGGAAACUGCCUGAUGGAGGGGGAUAACUACUGGAAACGGUGGCUAAUACCGCAUAACGUCGCAAGACCAAAGAGGGGGACCUUCGGGCCUCUUGCCAUCAGAUGUGCCCAGAUGGGAUUAGCU